rnacentral:rRNA from 1 species
GACGAACGCUGGCGGCGUGCUUAACACAUGCAAGUCGAGCGGUAAGGCCCUUUCGGGGGUACACGAGCGGCGAACGGGUGAGUAACACGUGGGUGACCUGCCCUCAGCUCUGGGAUAAGCCUGGGAAACUGGGUCUAAUACCGGAUAUGACUCCAUGACGCAUGUUGUGGGGUGGAAAGCCUUGUGCGGCUGAGGAUGGGCCCGCGGCCUAUCAGCUUGUUGGGGGUGAUGGCCUACCAAGGCGACGACGGGUAGCCGGCCUGAGAGGGCGACCGGCCACACUGGGACUGAGACACGGCCCAGACUCCUACGGGAGGCAGCAGUGGGGAAUCUUGCGCAAGUGGGCGAAAGCCUGACGCAGCGACGCCGCGUGAGGGAUGACGGCU